rnacentral:rRNA from 1 species
AUUGAACGCUGGCGGCAUGCUUUACACAUGCAAGUCGAACGGUAACAGGCCUUCGGGUGCUGACGAGUGGCGAACGGGUGCGUAAUGCAUCGGAACGUACCCAGAGGUGGGGGAUAACGCAGCGAAAGCUGUGCUAAUACCGCAUGUGAUCUGAGGAUGAAAGCGGGGGACCGAGCAGCAAUGUUUGGCCUCGCGCCUUUGGAGCGGCCGAUGUCGGAUUAGCUAGUUGGUGGGGUAAAGGCCUACCAAGGCGACGAUCCGUAGCUGGUCUGAGAGGACGACCAGCCACACUGGGACUGAGACACGGCCCAGGCUCCUACGGGAGGCAGCAGUGGGGAAUUUUGGACAAUGGGCGCAAGCCUGAUCCAGCAAUGCCGCGUGCGGGAAGAAGGCCUUCGGGUUGUAAACCGCUUUUGGCAGGAACGAAACGGUGUCCGCUAAUACCGGGCGCUAAUGACGGUACCUGCAGAAUAAGCACCGGCUAACUACGUG